GGGAGUGAGGGGCACUAUGGAGUAUGGACAGGGGGGCGGAGGGAGGGGCACCACAGGGCUAUGUGGGGAGCUGUGGGUCAGGAAUGAGGGGCACUGCGGGGAUGGGGGUGGCUGCAGGCUGGGAGUGAGGGGCACUGUGAGUUAACCCCUGCCUGCCCAUGCCUCAGAUGCCCAGCUGCAGCCCAGAGACCCCUGUGGGGCAAGAAGGGGUGGAGCCAACUGUCAAGGCAGGCACUGGCCCCGUGGUCACCAGCUGCCCAGGGAGCUGGGGGGCUGGAGCAGGGCGGGGCAGGCUCCUGCAGCCACUGCCCCAGCCACCAACAAUAGGUUCCAUCACCACCACCCUCUGCAGCCAGAGGAGCUACAAGGCCAGAGUAUCCCACAUCCAGGAGACUGCAGGGGAGAUGGCUGUGCUCUCUGCACCCUGGCCUGCCUCUUCUGUGAACUCAGGGCUCUCUGCUCCCUGGCCCUAUGCUGCAGAAGUGAACCCUGCUGGGCAAGGGCAGGACCAUCAGCUGGGGGAGGUGGGGCCUGCAGUUGCCCCUGGAGCCCACGGGCUGUGAUUCAGCCUGCCUGGAGAUUGCUUUGGAGUGCUGUGGUAUGUUUCCCCAUUUAAGUCUCCUCAUGAGAGGCUCUGCCCAUCCCAGGCCCCGCCCCCUCUUCAGGGCCGAGCCCUACCAAGGUAGCCUGCGAAUGAAUGAGCCACAGCCUGCUGUGAUGCAUCUGGACACCCACCCUCCCAUCCCCCACCUCAUCCUUUCUGCAUCUGAUGUUAUCCAGUGAAGUAUUACCAGGACUAUGAAAUCGUAGGUGAGGAUGGGAAGAGACUAAGAUAGCAGUAUCCAAAUCAGGCCAUGCCCCUCUGUGACUUCAUUUAACCAGACCAUGCCCUUUCAAACCAUGACAUCAUUUUGUGACUCAGAUCUGGCCCACCCAGGCAGUGAUGUCAUGCACAGUGGUGUGCCCUGCCCAUAGUGGCUAUGACCUAAUCCUUUGGGCCGAGCCCCACCCCAUUGGUUGUGAUCUCCUUGCCCAUCCAAACCCCACCCACAUCCAGGAGCCCUGCCCACAUGGCCUAUCUCAUUGCAGAACCAGCCAAACACACCUACCUCACUUGUGAUGUUUCCUUCCCUAAACUCGCACUCCAACAACCAGUCACACUGUCUCCAUUGUGAUGUCACCUGACCACCAGUGGGCCUUGACCUGCUGUUGAUAUCAGUCUUUGGGUUUCUGAUGUCAUCAUCACUCCAAAAUCGUGUGGUAUCAUCACUUAUUGACACUACAAGAUUACCACUUCUUGUUUUGUGAUGUCAUUGCUGUUUGACUCUAUUCACUCAUGCAUUCAUCUAAAAUUAACUUUUAAUAUUCUCAGCACCAUGUCUUCAUUCCUUGAUGCCAUUGCUCCCCAAAGCUGUGACAUCGUUAGUCCAUAAUGCUAUUGAUGCCAUUGCUCCACAAAGCUGUGAUCUCAUUUGUCCCUAAUGUUGUAAUGGCAUUACUCCAGAAAGCUGUGACAUCAUCAGUCCCUGAUGUCAUUGCUCAACAUGGCUGUGCCAUCAUCAGUUCCUGAUGCUGUAUUUACAUCACUCUCCAAAGCUGUGAUGUCAACAGGCCCUGAUGCUAUCUCACUAAACUGUGAUUUCAUCAGCCCCCAAUGCCACAAUGUCAUAAGUUUAUACUGUCAUGGUUCCCUGAAGUUGUGAAGCCAUCCCUCUCCAACACGGUGAUGCUAUGGCUCCCUGAAGCUGUGAUGUCAUCACCUGGGCCCAAGUUCUUCUAUUCAUCCAGGGCAGACAAGGUUCCUUGGGUGAAUCUGAUAUCUUUUAUUAGACCAACCCAAAUAGUUGGAAAAUAAUUAUUAAGCAAGCUUUUGGGUUCAAAAACCCUUCAUCAGGCUAAGGAAAUUUCAGCAGUUGGGGUGUGCUCUUCCUGGAUGGAAUUAAAAGUAAAGAAGCCAGCGGCUGGGUUGGGAUGCAUGCAAGACCAGACCCUUGUAAUAUAAACGUGGUGAAUUCUA